GGGGUGCUCGAGUGGCGAACGGGUGAGUAACACGUGAGUAACCUGCCCUUGACUUUGGGAUAACUUCAGGAAACUGGGGCUAAUACCGGAUAGGAGCUCCUGCUGCAUGGUGGGGGUUGGAAAGUUUCGGCGGUUGGGGAUGGACUCGCGGCUUAUCAGCUUGUUGGUGGGGUAGUGGCUUACCAAGGCUUUGACGGGUAGCCGGCCUGAGAGGGUGACCGGCCACAUUGGGACUGAGAUACGGCCCGG
rnacentral:rRNA from 1 species